AGUGAACGCUGGCGGUAGGCCUAACACAUGCAAGUCGAACGGCAGCACAGUAAGAGCUUGCUCUUACGGGUGGCGAGUGGCGGACGGGUGAGGAAUACAUCGGAAUCUACUUUUUCGUGGGGGAUAACGUAGGGAAACUUACGCUAAUACCGCAUACGACCUACGGGUGAAAGCAGGGGAUCUUCGGACCUUGCGCGAUUGAAUGAGCCGAUGUCGGAUUAGCUAGUUGGCGGGGUAAAGGCCCACCAAGGCGACGAUCCGUAGCUGGUCUGAGAGGAUGAUCAGCCACACUGGAACUGAGACACGGUCCAGACUCCUACGGGAGGCAGCAGUGGGGAAUAUUGGACAAUGGGGGCAAGCCUGAUCCAGCCAUACCGCGUGGGUGAAGAAGGCCUUCGGGUUGUAAAGCCCUUUUGUUGGGAAAGAAAAGCAGCAGGUUAAUACCCCGCGGUUCUGACGGUACCCAAAGAAUAAGCACCGGCUAACUUCGUG
rnacentral:rRNA from 1 species